rnacentral:rRNA from 1 species
ACGCUCGACACCUACGGGAGGCAGCAGUAGGGAAUCUUCCACAAUGGGCGCAAGCCUGAUGGAGCAACACCGCGUGAGUGAAGAAGGGUUUCGGCUCGUAAAGCUCUGUUGUUGGAGAAGAACGUGCGUGAGAGUAACUGUUCACGCAGUGACGGUAUCCAACCAGAAAGUCACGGCUAACUACGUGUCAGCAGCCGCGGUAAUCUGAGCGGGCUGGCAAGGC